rnacentral:rRNA from 1 species
UACGGGGGGGGCAAGCGUUGUUCGGAUUCACUGGGCGUAAAGGGCGCGUAGGCGGCUUUGCAAGUGACGGGUGAAAGCCCUCGGCUUAACCGAGGAACUGCCUGUCAGACUGUGAGGCUUGAGACCGGGAGAGGUGAGUGGAAUUCCCAGUGUAGCGGUGAAAUGCGUAGAUAUUGGGAGGAACACCAGUGGCGAAGGCGGCUCACUGGACCGGUACUGACGCUGAUGCGCGAAAGCGUGGGGAGCAAACAGG